rnacentral:rRNA from 1 species
AACGAACGCUGGCGGCAUGCCUAACACAUGCAAGUCGAACGAGACCUUCGGGUCUAGUGGCGCACGGGUGCGUAACGCGUGGGAACCUGCCCUUAGGUUCGGAAUAACUCCCCGAAAGGGGUGCUAAUACCGGAUAAUGUCUUCGGACCAAAGAUUUAUCGCCUUUGGAUGGGCCCGCGUUGGAUUAGCUAGUUGGUAGGGUAAAAGCCUACCAAGGCGACGAUCCAUAGCUGGUCUGAGAGGAUGAUCAGCCACACUGGGACUGAGACACGGCCCAGACUCCUACGGGAAGCAGCAGUGGGGAAUAUUGGACAAUGGGCGAAAGCCUGAUCCAGCAAUGCCGCGUGAGUGAUGAAGGCCUUAGGGUUGUAAAGCUAUUUUACCCGGGAUGAUAAUGACAGUACCGGGAGAAUAAGCUCCGGCUAACUCCGUG